rnacentral:rRNA from 1 species
UACGAAGGGGGCUAGCGUUGCUCGGAAUUACUGGGCGUAAAGCGCACGUAGGCGGAUCGUUAAGUCGGGGGUGAAAUCCUGGAGCUCAACUCCAGAACUGCCUUCGAUACUGGCGAUCUUGAGUCCGGAAGAGGUGAGUGGAACUCCUAGUGUAGAGGUGGAAUUCGUAGAUAUUAGGAAGAACACCAGUGGCGAAGGCGGCUCACUGGUCCGGUACUGACGCUGAGGUGCGAAAGCGUGGGGAGCAACAGG